ACGACCCAGGUCUGCUAGAGCGCCGGCCUGUUAAGCCGGAGACGCGGGUUCGAUUCCCGUCGGGCGUA
rnacentral:tRNA from 1 species